rnacentral:tRNA from 1 species
UCCCUCUUAGCUCAGUGGUAGAGCGCAUCACUUGUAUUUCACAAUGAUGAGGGCAGUCGUUCAAUCCGGCUAGGGGGA